rnacentral:rRNA from 1 species
CCUACGGGAUGCAGCAGUGAGGAAUAUUGGUCAAUGGACGAGAGUCUGAACCAGCCAAGUAGCGUGAAGGAUGACUGCCCUAUGGGUUGUAAACUUCUUUUAUAUGGGAAUAAAAUGUUCCACGUGUGGGAUUUUGUAUGUACCCUCUGAAUAAGGAUCGGAUAACUCCGUGCCAGAAGCCGCGGUAAUACGGGGGAUCCGAGCGUUAUCCGGAUUUAUUGGGGUUAAAGGGAGCGUAGGGUGAUUGUUAAGACAGUUGUGAAAGUUUGCGGCGCAACCGUAAAAUUGCAUGUGAAACUGGCAGUCUUGUGUACAGUAGAGGUGGGCGGAAUUCGUGGUGUAGCGGUGAAAUGCUUAGAUAUCACGAAGAACUCCGAUUGCGAAGGCAGCUCACUGGACUGCAACUGACACUGAGGCUCGAAAGUGUGGUUAUCAAACAGGAUUAGAUACCCUAGUAGUC